AUUGAACGCUGGCGGCAGGCCUAACACAUGCAAGUCGAGCGGAUGAAGGGAGCUUGCUCCUGGAUUCAGCGGCGGACGGGUGAGUAAUGCCUAGGAAUCUGCCUGGUAGUGGGGGAUAACGUCCGGAAACGGGCGCUAAUACCGCAUACGUCCUGAGGGAGAAAGUGGGGGAUCUUCGGACCUCACGCUAUCAGAUGAGCCUAGGUCGGAUUAGCUAGUUGGUGGGGUAAAGGCCUACCAAGGCGACGAUCCGUAACUGGUCUGAGAGGAUGAUCAGUCACACUGGAACUGAGACACGGUCCAGACUCCUACGGGAGGCAGCAGUGGGGAAUAUUGGACAAUGGGCGAAAGCCUGAUCCAGCCAUGCCGCGUGUGUGAUGAAGGUCUUCGGACUGUAAAGCACUUUAAGUUGGGAGGAAGGGCAGUAAGUCAAUACCUUGCUGUUUUGACGUUACCAACAGAAUAAGCACCGGCUAACUUCGUG
rnacentral:rRNA from 1 species